rnacentral:misc_RNA from 1 species
GAUGAAGAACGCAGCAAAAUGCGAUAAGUAGUGUGAAUUGCAGAAUUCAGUGAAUCAUCGAAUCUUUGAACGCACAUUGCGCCCCUUGGUAUUCCGUGGGGCAUGCCUGUUCGAGCGUCAUUUACCCCCUCAAGCUCCGCUUGGUGUUGGGCGUCUGUCCCGCUUCGCGCGCGGACUCGCCCCAAAGGUAUUGGCAGCGGUCGUGCCAGCUUCUCGCGCAGCACAUUGCGCUUCUCGAGGCACCGGUGGGCCCGCGUCCAUCAAGCUCACCCCCCCAGUUUGACCUCGGAUCAGGUAGGGAUACCCGCUGAACUUAAGCAUAUCAAUAAGCGGAGGA